rnacentral:rRNA from 1 species
CCUACGGGUGGCAGCAGUGGGGAAUAUUGGGCAAUGGGCGCAAGCCUGACCCAGCAACGCCGCGGGAAGGAAGAAGGCUUUCGGGUUGUAAACUUCUUUUAAGAGGGAUGAGCAGAAGACGGUACCUCUUGAAUAAGCCACGGCAAACUACGUGCCAGCAGCCGCGGUAAUACGUAGGUGGCAAGCGUUGGACGGGUUUACUGGUAGUAAAGGGCGUGCAGCCGGGAAGACAAGUCCGAAGUUAAAUACCGCGGCUCAACCCGGGAACUGCAUUUGAAACUGUUUUUCUUGGGGACCGGAGAGGUCAUCGGAAUUCCUUGUGUAGCGGUGAAAUGCGUAGAUAUAAGGAAGAACACCAGUGGCGAAGGCGGAUGACUGGACGGCAACUGACGGUGAGGCGCGAAAGCGUGGGGAGCAAACAGGAUUAGAUACCCUAGUAGUC